rnacentral:rRNA from 1 species
GACGAACGCUGGCGGCGUGCUUAACACAUGCAAGUCGAACGGAAAGGCCCUGCUUUUGUGGGGUGCUCGAGUGGCGAACGGGUGAGUAACACGUGAGUAACCUGCCCUUGACUUUGGGAUAACUUCAGGAAACUGGGGCUAAUACCGGAUAGGAGCUCCUGCUGCAUGGUGGGGGUUGGAAAGUUUCGGCGGUUGGGGAUGGACUCGCGGCUUAUCAGCUUGUUGGUGGGGUAGUGGCUUACCAAGGCUUUGACGGGUAGCCGGCCUGAGAGGGUGACCGGGCACAUUGGGACUGAGAUACGGACCAGACUCCUACGGGAGGCAGCAGUGGGGAAUAUUGCACAAUGGGCGGAAGCCUGAUGCAGCAACGCUGCGUGCGGGAUGACGGCCUUCGGGUUGUAAACCGCUUUCGCCUGUGACGAAGCGUGAGUGACGGUAAUGGGUAAAGAAGCACCGGCUAACUACGUG